rnacentral:rRNA from 1 species
AAGGCAGCAGGCGCGCAAAUUACCCAAUCCCGACACGGGGAGGUAGUGACAAUAAAUACUGAUACAGGGCUCUUUUGGGUCUUGUAAUCGGAAUGAGUACAAUUUAAAUCCCUUAACGAGGAACAAUUGGAGGGCAAGUCUGGUGCCAGCAGCCGCGGUAAUUCCAGCUCCAAUAGCGUAUAUUAAAGUUGUUGUGGUUAAAAAGCUCGUAGUUGAACCUUGGGCCUGGCUGGCCGGUCCGCCUCACCGCGUGCACUGGUCCGGCCGGGCCUUUCCCUCUGCGGAACCCCAUGCCCUUCACUGGGUGUGGCGGGGAAACAGGACUUUUACUUUGAAAAAAUUAGAGUGCUCAAGGCAGGCCUAUGCUCGAAUACAUUAGCAUGGAAUAAUAGAAUAGGACGUGUGGUUCUAUUUUGUUGGUUUCUAGGACCGCCGUAAUGAUUAAUAGGGACAGUCGGGGGCAUCAGUAUUCAAUUGUCAGAGGUGAAAUUCUUGGAUUUAUUGAAGACUAACU